UACGGGGGGGGCAAGCGUUGUUCGGAAUUACUGGGCGUAAAGGGCUCGUAGGUGGCCAACUAAGUCAGACGUGAAAUCCCUCGGCUUAACCGGGGAACUGCGUCUGAUACUGGAUGGCUUGAGUUCGGGAGAGGGAUGCGGAAUUCCAGGUGUAGCGGUGAAAUGCGUAGAUAUCAGGAGGAACACCUGUGGUGUAGACAGCUUACUGGACCACGACUGACGCUGAGACACGAAAGCGUGGGUAGCAAACAGG
rnacentral:rRNA from 1 species